rnacentral:rRNA from 1 species
UUGGAGGGCAAGUCUGGUGCCAGCAGCCGCGGUAAUUCCAGCUCCAAUAGCGUAUAUUAAAGUUGUUGCAGUUAAAAAGCUCGUAGUUGAAUUUCGGGAUUGACGUAAUGGUCGUGCCUUAAGGGGUAUGAACUGUUACUGUUGAUUUCUCACCUUCUGGAGAAACUUGAUGUCCUUAAUUGGGUGUCUUGCGGAUCCAGGACCUUUACCUUGAAAAAAUUAGAGUGUUUAAAGCAGGCAUUUUUGCUCGAAUACAUUAGCAUGGAAUGAUAGAAUAGGACGGCAUGGUUCUAUUUUGUUGGUCUCUAGGAUCACCGUAAUGAUUAAUAGGGAUAGUUGGGGGCAUUAGUAUUCAAUUGUCAGAGGUGAAAUUCUUGGAUUUAUUGAAGACUAACUACAGCGAAAGCAUUUGCCAAGGAUGUUUUCAUUAAUCAAGAACGAAAGUUAGGGGAUCGAAGACGAUCAGAUACCGUCGUAGUCUUAACCAUAAACUAUGCCGACUAGGAAUCAGACGAUGUUAAUUUUUUAAUGACUCGUUUGGCACCUUACGGGAAACCAAAGUGUUUGGGUUC